rnacentral:rRNA from 1 species
AAUCCUUUAACGAGGAUCUAUUGGAGGGCAAGUCUGGUGCCAGCAGCCGCGGUAAUUCCAGCUCCAAUAGCGUAUAUUAAAGUUGUUGCGGUUAAAAAGCUCGUAGUUGGAUCUCGGUUUCACUCAGGUGGUACACCUUGCGGUGUUCACUAUCUGGGUGGACGUUUCUGUUGGUUCGCUCUUGGUGCUCUUCAUCGGGUGCCAUUUGGUGGCCAGCACGUUUACUUUGAAAAAAUUGGAGUGCUCAAAGCAGGCGUUACAGCCUGAACAUUAGUGCAUUGAAUAAUGGAAUAGGAUCUCGAUUCUAUUUCGUUGGCUUUCGGAGUCGAGGUAAUGAUUAAUAGGGACAGACGGGGGCAUUCGUACUGCGACGUUAGAGGUGAAAUUCUUGGAUCGUCGCAAGACGAACUACUGCGAAAGCAUUUGCCAAGAAUGUUUUCAUUAAUCAAGAACGAAAGUUAGAGGUUCGAAGGCGAUCAGAUACCGCCCUAGUUCUAACCAUAAACGAUGCCAACCGGCGAUCCGUCGUCGUUAAUUGAAUGACUCGACGGGCAGCCUCCGGGAAACCAGAGUGUUUGGGUUCCGGGGGAAGUAUGGUUGCAAAGCUGAAACUUAAAGGAAUUGACGGAAGGGCACCACCAGGAGUGGAGCCUGCGGCUUAAUUUGACCCAACACGGGAAAUCUCACCAGGCCCGGACACCGGAAGGAUUGACAGAUUGAGAGCUCUUUCUUGAUUCGGUGGGUGGUGGUGCAUGGCCGUUCUUAGUUGGUGGAGCGAUUUGUCUGGUUAAUUCCGAUAACGAACGAGACUCUGGCCUACUAACUAGAAGGUCUAUCCUUUAUGGGUAGGCCUCUGCUUCUUAGAGGGACGGGCGGCGUUUAGCCGCACGAGAAUGAGCAAUAACAGGUCUGUGAUGCCCUUAGAUGUUCUGGGCUGCACGCGCGCUACACUGAAGGAAUCAGCAUGUUCUCCCCUCCCUGAAAAGGGCGGGUAACCCGUUGAAACUCCUUCGUGAUGGGGAUUGGAGAUUGUAAUUAUUCUCCAUGAACGAGGAAUUCCCAGUAGGCGCGAGUCAUCAGCUUGCGUCGAUUACGUCCCUGCCCUUUGUACACACCGCCCGUCGCUACUACCGAUCGAGUGAUUUAGUGAGGACUUCGGACUGGUCUUCAAGUUGGCUUCGGUCGGCUCGAAGUUCCGGAAAGAUGCCCAAACUUGAUCACUUAGA